AGGGUUCGAUUCUGGCUCAGGAUGAACGCUGGCGGCGUGCCUAAUACAUGCAAGUCGAACGAGGUAGCAAUACCGAGUGGCGAACGGGUGAGUAACACGUAGGUAACCUGCCCUUAAGCUUGGGAUACCCAGAGGAAACUUUGGCUAAUACCGGAUAACAACAGAGAAGGCAUCUUCUUUGCUUGAAAGGCCCCUUCAAGGGUCACUUAAGGAUGGACCUGCGGCGCAUUAGCUAGUUGGUGAGAUAACAGCCCACCAAGGCGAGGAUGCGUAGCCGAACUGAGAGGUUGAUCGGCCACAUUGGAACUGAGACACGGUCCAAACUCCUACGGGAGGCAGCAGUAAGGAGUUUUCGGCAAUGGGGGAAACCCUGACCGAGCAACGCCGCGUGAGCGAUGACGGCCCUAUGGGUUUGUAAAGCUCUGUUGUAAGCCAUGAAUGACAGCUUGAGGAAAUGCAAGUUGUUUGACGACAGCUUACCAGAAAGCCACGGCUAACUACGUGCCAGCAGCCGC
rnacentral:rRNA from 1 species